rnacentral:rRNA from 1 species
GGGGAAUCUUGGACAAUGGGGGCAACCCUGAUCCAGCAAUGCCGCGUGUGUGAAGAAGGCCUGAGGGUUGUAAAGCACUUUCAGUGGGGAGGAGAGUUAUAAGGUUAAGAGCUAUAUAACUGGACGUUACCCACAGAAGAAGCACCGGCUAACUCCGUGCCAGCAGCCGCGGUAAUACGGAGGGUGCGAGCGUUAAUCGGAAUUACUGGGCGUAAAGGGUGCGUAGGUGGUAUGGUAAGUUAUCUGUGAAAUUCCCGGGCUUAACCUGGGGCGGUCAGAUAAGACUGCUGUGCUUGAGUAUAGGAGAGGGUAGUGGAAUUUCCGGUGUAGCGGUGAAAUGCGUAGAGAUCGGAAGGAACACCAGUGGCGAAAGCGGCUACCUGGCCUAAUACUGACACUGAGGCACGAAAGCGUGGGGAGCAAAC